rnacentral:rRNA from 1 species
ACUCAAAUGAAUUGACGGGGGCCCGCACAAGCAGUGGAGCAUGUGGUUUAAUUCGAUGCAACGCGAAGAACCUUACCUAGACUUGACAUGUAGAGGACACUGGCAGAAAUGUCAUCUCCCGAAAGGGUCUCUACACAGGUGCUGCAUGGCUGUCGUCAGCUCGUGCCGUGAGGUGUUGGGUUAAGUCCCGCAACGAGCGCAACCCUUAUCAUUAGUUGCCAACACUUAGGGUGGGAACUCUAAUGAGACUGCCUGGGUUAACCAGGAGGAAGGUGAGGAUGACGUCAAGUCAGCAUGGCCCUUAUGUCUAGGGCCACACACGUGCUACAAUGGCCGGUACAGAAGGCAGCGAAGCCGUAAGGUGGAGCAAAUCCCUAAAGCCGGUCUCAGUUCAGAUUGUAGUCUGCAACUCGACUACAUGAAGUUGGAAUUGCUAGUAAUGGCGCGUCAGCCACAGCGCCGUGAAUACGUUCCCGGGCCUUGUACACACCGCCCGU